rnacentral:tRNA from 1 species
GCGGGCGUGGCGGAAUGGCAGACGCGUAUGGUUCAGGUCCAUAUGGGGGAAACCCCUUGGGGGUUCAAGUCCCUUCGCCCGCACCA